UAAGCAUAUCCAUAAGCGGAGGAAAAGAAACCAACAGGAAUUGCCCCAGUAACGGCGAGUGAAGCGGCAACAGCUCAAAUUUGAAAUCUGGCCCCAGGCCCGAGUUGUAAUUUGCAGAGGAUGCUUUUGGCGCGGUGCCUUCCGAGUGCCCUGGAACGGGACGCCACAGAGGGUGAGAGCCCCAUCUGGUUGGACACCAAGCCUAUGUAAAGCUCCUUCGACGAGUCGAGUAGUUUGGGAAUGCUGCUCUAAAUGGGAGGUAUAUGUCUUCUAAAGCUAAAUACCGGCCAGAGACCGAUAGCGCACAAGUAGAGUGAUCGAAAGAUGAAAAGCACUUUGAAAAGAGGGUUAAAUAGUACGUGAAAUUGUUGAAAGGGAAGCGCUUAUGACCAGACUUGGGCCCGGUGAAUCAUCCAGCGUUCUCGCUGGUGCACUUUGCCGGGCACAGGCCAGCAUCAGUUCGCCGCGGGGGAUAAAGGCUUCGGGAAUGUGGCUCCCUCGGGAGUGUUAUAGCCCGUUGCACAAUACCCUGGGGCGGACUGAGGUUCGCGCAUCUGCUAGGAUGCUGC
rnacentral:sRNA from 1 species